UGCCUGGCUCUGGCAGUCUCUGGCCAGAGUGGAGCAGACCCAGGGGCGAUCUUCCCCCCAGAAAGCUUUUGCAGUAUAUCUGAAGUUCUCUUGCCUCGGAAGCAUCAUCUAAACUACAAUGGAAUGCGUUAAACUCUAUUCAAUCUAUUCUUUGCUCAACUAGUCGAAGAACUUUUGGUCAAGAAGAGAUUUUCAAAAGCCUAUUUGAGCAGGUGAUCCCUCCAAGCCAAUUCGUAGCUGAAAAAUGUAGAAUUAUUGUGAUGUAUAGGAUUCUCUUGUAAGUGUUAUUGAGCUAACAUCAUGGAUAUUUAGAACAGAGAUUCUAACGCAAGAUUAAAAAGCCAGACUAUUUGUGCAUUGUUAUUUCUUUGGCACCAUACUUUGGUCAACACUGAUUUUGCAAAGAUUUGUUCAUCUUA